UACGGGGGGGGGCAAGCGUUGUUCGGAAUUACUGGGCGUAAAGGGCUCGUAGGCGGCCAACUAAGUCAGACGUGAAAUCCCCAGGCUCAACCUGGGAACUGCGUCUGAUACUGGAUGGCUUGAAUUCGGGAGAGGGAUGCAGAAUUCCAGGUGUAGCGGUGAAAUGCGUAGAUAUCUGGAGGAAUACCGGUGGCGAAGGCGGCUCGCUGGGCUGUUGCGACGCUGAGGCGCGAAAGCGUGGGGAGCAAACAGG
rnacentral:rRNA from 1 species